UUGAUUUGGUAGCAAGCACUUCAUAUAACCUGACUAACACUUAACAAUGAGGACUGUCUGGAGUUUAGUACUCAUGGUGGUGUUUGUAAAAAGUGUUCAUGGUCAGACACUGACUGAAUCUGCACCAGUGGUUAAAAAUCCUGGAGAAUCCCACAAACUGACCUGUACAGCCUCUGGGUUCACAUUCAGUAGCUACUGGAUGGCUUGGAUCAGACAGGCUCCUGGGAAGGGACUAGAUUUUAUGGCAGCACAUUAUAACAGCAGAAAUAUUGCCUACUCCCAGUCUGUUCAGGGUCGGUUCACCAUCUCUAGGGAUGACAGCAAGCAGCAGGUGUAUCUCCAGAUGAACAGCCUGAAGACUGAAGACUCUGCUGUUUAUUAUUGUGCCAGAGACACAGUGACACAGGAGGCUGUAGCACCGUACAAAAACUGUUCAACACUGAUCCCAGUAUGA